rnacentral:rRNA from 1 species
GAUGAACGCUGGCGGCGUGCCUAAUACAUGCAAGUAGAACGCUGAAGCUUGGUGCUUGCACCGAGCGGAGGAGUUGCGAACGGGUGAGUAACGCGUAGGUAACCUGCCUCUUAGCGGGGGAUAACUAUUGGAAACGAUAGCUAAUACCGCAUAAAAGUCGACAUUGCAUGAUGUUGACUUGAAAGGUGCAACUGCAUCACUAAGAGAUGGACCUGCGUUGUAUUAGCUAGUUGGUGAGGUAACGGCUCACCAAGGCGACGAUACAUAGCCGACCUGAGAGGGUGAUCGGCCACACUGGGACUGAGACACGGCCCAGACUCCUACGGGAGGCAGCAGUAGGGAAUCUUCGGCAAUGGACGGAAGUCUGACCGAGCAACGCCGCGUGAGUGAAGAAGGUUUUCGGAUCGUAAAGCUCUGUUGUAAGAGAAGAACGAGUGUGAGAGUGGAAAGUUCACACUGUGACGGUAACUUACCAGAAAGGGACGGCUAACUACGUGCCAGCAGCCGCGGUAAUACGUAGGUCCCGAGCGUUAUCCGGAUUUAUUGGGCGUAAAGCGAGCGCAGGCGGUUAGAUAAGUCUGAAGUUAAAGGCUGUGGCUUAACCAUAGUACGCUUUGGAAACUGUUUAACUUGAGUGCAGAAGGGGAGAGUGGAAUUCCAUGUGUAGCGGUGAAAUGCGUAGAUAUAUGGAGGAACACCGGUGGCGAAAGCGGCUCUCUGGUCUGUAACUGACGCUGAGGCUCGAAAGCGUGGGGAGCAACAGG